rnacentral:rRNA from 1 species
GACGAACGCUGGCGGCGUGCUUAACACAUGCAAGUCGAACGGAAAGGCCCUGCUUUUGUGGGGUGCUCGAGUGGCGAACGGGUGAGUAACACGUGAGUAACCUGCCCUUGACUUUGGGAUAACUUCAGGAAACUGGGGCUAAUACCGGAUAGGAGCUCCUGCUGCAUGGUGGGGGUUGGAAAGUUUCGGCGGUUGGGGAUGGACUCGCGGCUUAUCAGCUUGUUGGUGGGGUAGUGGCUUACCAAGGCUGUGACGGGUAGCCGGCCUGAGAGGGUGACCGGCCACAUUGGGACUGAGAUACGGCCCAGACUCCUACGGGAGGCAGCAGUGGGGAAUAUUGCACAAUGGGGGGAAGCCUGAUGCAGCAAAGCCGCGUGCGGGAUGACGGCCUUCGGGUUGUAAACCGCUUUCGCCUGUGACGAAGCGUGAGUGACGGUAAUGGGUAAAGAAGCACCGGCUAACUACGUG